GUGCCAGCCGCCGCGGUAAUACGUAGGUGGCGAGCGUUGUCCGGAUUUACUGGGCGUAAAGGGAGCGUAGGCGGACUUUUAAGUGAGAUGUGAAAUACCCGGGCUCAACUUGGGUGCUGCAUUUCAAACUGGAAGUCUAGAGUGCAGGAGAGGAGAAUGGAAUUCCUAGUGUAGCGGUGAAAUGCGUAGAGAUUAGGAAGAACACCAGUGGCGAAGGCGAUUCUCUGGACUGUAACUGACGCUGAGGCUCGAAAGCGUGGGGAGCAAACAGGAUUAGAUACCCCCGUAGUCC
rnacentral:rRNA from 1 species